ensembl:lncRNA
CCUUGGACGAGAGCCAAGUGAACAAAACCAAAAGUGUUUUCAUUGUACUGGUUUUACAGGAAAUGCAGUGCAGCCACGUCAAACAAAACUGAAGACAUCUCAAAAAGUCACACGACUAGAAAGGUUUGCACUGCACUGACAUCUUUCCACCAUGGCUGGCACGAGCUCUGAUCUGCAGCACAGAAGAGGACGCCAAAACACACAGAUACAAAAGACAGGUCCUCUGGCCAGUAGGUGGCGCAGCGACUAUACCAUAUCAGCAUGCGACCAAAGUCAGAUGUUCAACAUGACUGUAAAGGAGGAGUUCAUUCAAAUACAAGGGCCAACAAGAAUGAGUCAGCUGACAACCAAAUCCUCUCCAAAUUCUGACCACAAGCAUACAUGCAUAAUUGUUGGUGUCAUAGCAGGAGCAGUGGUGGGACUAUUUUUUGGUGCAAGUCUAUUUCGAGGUAACCCAAUUUUAGGCACACUGGCUGGAGCAAUAGUUGGGGGCUUUUUCGGAUAUGGUGCUGGAAAAGAGUCAUCAACACCAACAGAGGCUACAUUGAAGUCCGUGAGGGAUGUCGGUGCAGUCGGUACCGUGUUCAAACAAGCAAAGGGUGCUUUGUAGGGUGGAGACUCGAAAGAUACAAAAUGAGUACAUUUAGAGACAAAUCGUUGGGUUUAUGGGUUGAACAUCUCAUCAAGGACAAUCAAAGGCAUUCUAUUCUAUUCUAUUAUGUGAAAAAUUAUUUCUAUGAUUAUGUUACCUAUAGUGGGUUUACUUUGUUUUGUUUUUAACAAUAAUCAAUGUAAGUAAGUCAUUACGUGUUUAUUGUACAUUAUUAAAUGAUCAAAAAUGUAAGUUUUUAAAGGAC